rnacentral:rRNA from 1 species
GUGCCAGCAGCCGCGGUAAUACGGAGGACCCGAGCGUUAUCCGGAUUCAUUGGGUUUAAAGGGUGCGUAGGCGGCCCGGUAAGUCAGCGGUGAAAGGCUCCUGCUCCACAGGAGAGCUGCCGUUGAUACUGCUGGGCUAGAAUCUUAGCGAGGCGGGCGGAAUGCGCGGUGUAGCGGUGAAAUGCAUAGAUAUCGCGCAGAACGCCGAUUGGGGAGCCAGCUCGCCAGCUGAGUAUUGACGCUGAGGCACGAAAGCGUGGGGAUCGAACAGGAUUAGAUACCCUGGUAGUCCUAGCCCUAAACGGUGCACAUUUGCUGUGAGCGGAUUCGACCCCGCUCGUGGCGGAGCUAACGCGUUAAAUGUGCCGCCUGGGAAGUACGGUCGCAAGAUUAAAACUCAAAGAAAUUGACGGGGGCCUGCACAAGCGGUGGAGUAUGUGGCUCAAUUCGAUGCAACGCGAAGAACCUUACCUGGCCUUGACAUGCAAGUAGUAGAAGGAUGAAAGUCUGACGAUCCCGCAAGGGAAGCUUGCACAGGUGCUGCAUGGCUGUCGUCAGCUCGUGUCGUGAGAUGUUGGGUUAAGUCCCGCAACGAGCGCAA